GAGCCACACGGCGCGACAAGAUGGCGGUGAGCGCGCGGCGGAAUCUGGAGCCGGGGGGCGUGGAGCUCGGGCCGCGCUCCAGGUCUCAUGCGCUCUGCUUUCCCCGCAGGAUAAGGAGAAGAAGAAAAAGGAGAGCAUCUUGGACUUGUCCAAGUACAUCGACAAGACGAUCCGGGUAAAGUUCCAGGGAGGCCGCGAAGCCAGUGGAAUCCUGAAGGGCUUCGACCCACUCCUCAACCUUGUGCUGGACGGCACCAUUGAGUACAUGCGAGACCCUGACGACCAGUACAAGCUCACGGAGGACACCCGGCAGCUGGGCCUCGUGGUGUGCCGGGGCACGUCCGUGGUGCUAAUCUGCCCGCAGGACGGCAUGGAGGCCAUCCCCAACCCCUUCAUCCAGCAGCAGGACGCCUAGCCUGGCCGGGGGCGCGGGGGGUGCAGGGCAGGCCCGAGCAGCUCGGUUUCCCGCGGACUUGGCUGCUGCUCCCACCGCAGUACCGCCUCCUGGAACGGAAGCAUUUUCCUUUUUGUAUAGGUUGAAUUUUUGUUUUCUUAAUAAAAUUGCAAACCUCAAU
rnacentral:lncRNA from 1 species